rfam:Lupinus angustifolius cultivar Tanjil chromosome LG07, whole genome shotgun sequence.
AUUUGUGCGGUGAUGAUGCAAUUUUCGUGGACUAGAGUUUCUGAUCUGGGCAAUUAACUCAGAAGUUGAUUACAAAACCCUUGGCUGUCUGAGCACAUUU